rnacentral:rRNA from 1 species
UACAGAGGGUGCGAGCGUUAAUCGGAAUUACUGGGCGUAAAGGGCGCGUAGGCGGCCUGCUAAGUCGAACGUGAAAUCCCCGGGCUCAACCCGGGAACUGCGUCCGAUACUGGCAGGCUUGAAUUCGGGAGAGGGAUGCGGAAUUCCAGGUGUAGCGGUGAAAUGCGUAGAUAUCUGGAGGAACACCGGUGGCGAAGGCGGCAUCCUGGACCGGUAUUGACGCUGAGGCGCGAAAGCCAGGGGAGCAAACGGG